AAAUGAAUUGACGGGGACCCGCACAAGCGGUGGAGCAUGUGGUUUAAUUCGACGCAACGCGAAGAACCUUACCAGGGCUUGACAUCCCUUGACGUCUGUAGAGAUACAGAGUUUUAUCUUUCGGGAUAGACAAGGAGACAGGUGGUGCAUGGUUGUCGUCAGCUCGUGUCGUGAGAUGUUGGGUUAAGUCCCGCAACGAGCGCAACCCCUACUUUUAGUUGCCAUCAUUAAGUUGGGCACUCCAAAGGAACUGCCGGUGACAAACCGGAGGAAGGUGGGGAUGACGUCAAAUCAUCAUGCCCUUUAUGUCCUGGGCUACACACGUGCUACAAUGGUCGGUACAGAGGGCAGCGAAGGAGCGAUCUGGAGCGAAUCCCAAAAAGCCGAUCCCAGUUCGGAUUGCAGGCUGCAACUCGCCUGCAUGAAGUCGGAAUCGCUAGUAAUCGCGAGUCAGCAUAUCGCGGUGAAUACGUUCCCGGGUCUUGUACACACCGCCCGU
rnacentral:rRNA from 1 species